rnacentral:misc_RNA from 1 species
AACGCACAUUGCGCCCUUUGGCAUUCCGAAGGGCAUGCCUGUUCGAGCGUCAUUAUCCUCCCUCAAACCUCGGGUUUGGUGUUGGACCGCGUUGGAGCCCCCCGGGGCCCCCCAACUGGUCUCAAAGACAAUGACGGCGUCCGUGGGACCCUCUUCGCACUGAGCUUUCCGGAGCACGCGUCGAGUUUCAAGGCCCCAGGGACCCGGUCACCUAAUUUUACUUCUAAGGUUGACCUCGGAUCAGGUAGGAAUACCCGCUGAACUUAA